rnacentral:rRNA from 1 species
CCUACGGGAGGCAGCAGUGGGGAAUCUUGGGCAAUGGACGAAACUCUGACCCAGCAACGCCGCGUGAAUGAUGAAGGUCUUCGGGUUUGAAAGGUUUUUUUUAAGGGAAGAAGAAAGUGACGCUACCUUAUUAAUAAGCCUCGGUUAACUACGUGCCAGCAGCCGCUGUAAUAAGUAGGAGGCGAGCGUUAUCCGGAAUGAAUGGGCGUAAAGGGUGCGUAGGUGGGUUGGCAAGUUAGGAGCGUAGAUCCCGGGCUCAACCUUGGAACUACAACUGAAACUGUUGGACUUGAGUGCAGGAGGGGAAAGUGGAAUUCCUAGUGUAGCGGUGGAAUGCGUAGAUAUUAGGAGGAACACCAGUGGCGAAGGCGGGUUGCUGGACUGUAACUGACGCUGAGGCACGAAAGCGUGGGGAGCGAACAGGAUUAGAUACCCUAGUAGUC